rnacentral:rRNA from 1 species
AUUGAACGCUGGCGGCAGGCCUAACACAUGCAAGUCGAGCGGCAGCGGGAAAGUAGCUUGCUACUUUUGCCGGCGAGCGGCGGACGGGUGAGUAAUGCCUGGGGAUCUGCCCAGUCGAGGGGGAUAACAGUUGGAAACGACUGCUAAUACCGCAUCCGCCCUACGGGGGAAAGGAGGGGAACUUCGGGCCUUUCGCGAUUGGAUGCACCCAGGUGGGAUUAGCGAGUGGGUGGGGUAAUGGCUCACCAAGGCGACGAUCCCUAGCUUGGCUGAGAGGAUGAUCAGCCACACUGGAACUGAGACACGGUCCAGACUCCUACGGGAGGCAGCAGUGGGGAAUAUUGCACAAUGGGGGAAACCCUGAUGCAGCCAUGCCGCGUGUGUGAAGAAGGCCUUCGGGUUGUAAAGCACUUUCAGCGAGGAGGAAAGGUUGUUGGCUAAUACCCAGCAACUGUGACGUUACUCGCAGAAGAAGCACCGGCUAACUCCGUGCCAGCCGCCGCAGUAA